CUGGCACCAAGCCCCAGCAAUAACCCUGGUAGAAAAACAAAUAAUAGAAAAAUAAUAAUAAUAAAAUAAGGGUGGCUUUCAAACACAAGUGUUAAUAGUAAAGGGGAUCAUGUCACCUUUAGGGGACUAUCUGUGCUUUUCAAAGUGAAUUUAAAGGCCCUACACAC
rnacentral:snoRNA from 1 species